GGGUGGUUGGCGCAAUGGUAGCGCGUUCCCCUCCUAAGGGAAAGGUUCUGGGUUCGAGUCCCAGAUUGCUCG